AUCCCCAAUGAUUGAAACAACACCUUGUAGAGAACAGAGGUUUAUUCGUCCUGAGGACAGCUUUGAAAAGCCAGAAUUGGUUUUUCCCCGCACAAACAGCAGUAAUAUCUUCCAGGGUUCCCCCCUCCCAUGUGAACAGUGUAAAGAAAUAUGCAGACAGUUAGAUAAGAGCACGAGUCCGUUGGCACUGGCCUUGACCCGCACCUGGCGGUGGAAACAGUUAGAGGCACACAAUAUGAUUCCCAUCCCCCUAAAGCCCAGAACAGCGAGUGGCUCCCAGCACCCAUGUUGGAUCCUGAAAAUGAAAUG